rnacentral:rRNA from 1 species
GACGGAGACCCCUAGCGUUGUUCGGAAUCACUGGGCUUAAAGCGGGUGUAGGCGGAACGGCAAGUACUUUGUGAAAGCCCCGGUCUCAACCCGGGAAUUGCUUGGUAUACUGCCGUCCUUGAGGCAGGCAGGGGUGACUGGAACCUUAGGUGGAGCGGUGAAAUGCGUAGAUGUCUAAGGGAACGCCUGUGGCGAAAGCGGGUCACUGGGCCUGUCCUGACGCUGAGACCCGAGAGCGUAGGGAGCAAACAGG